UACGUAGGGGGCUAGCGUUGUCCGGAAUCAUUGGGCGUAAAGAGCGCGUAGGCGGCCCGGUAAGUCCGCUGUAAAAGUCAAAGGCUCAACCUUUGAAAGUCAGUGGAUACUGCCGGGCUAGAGUCCGGAAGAGGCGAGUGGAACUCCUGGUGUAGCGGUGGAAUGCGCAGAUAUCAGGAAGAACACCCGUGGCGAAGGCGGCUCUCUGGGACGGUACUGACGGCUGAGACGCGAAAGCGUGGGGAGCGAACAGG
rnacentral:rRNA from 1 species